UCCGUGUUGGUCCAGGGGUUAGGAUUUCGGUCUCUCACGCCGAAGGCCCGGGUUCGAAUCCCGGACAUGGAA